AUACGGAGGAUGCAAGCGUUAUCCGGAUUUAUUGGGUUUAAAGGGUGCGUAGGCGGUUUGCUAAGCGGGAGGUGAAAUGCCGGCGCUCAACGUCGGAAGUGCCUCCCGAACUGGUGGACUGGAAUGACUCUGCCGUGGGAGGAAUGUGUAGUGUAGCGGUGAAAUGCUUAGAGAUUACACAGAACACCGAUUGCGAAGGCAGCUCACGAAGGGUUGAUUGACGCUGAGGCACGAAAGCGUGGGGAUCAAACAGGAUUAGAUACCCUGGUAGUCCACGCAGUAAACGAUGAUGGCUAACCGCUGGUUUAUUCGGAUCAGUGGCCAAGCGAAAGCGAUAAGCCAUCCACCUGGGGAGUACGACCGCAAGGUUGAAACUCAAAUGAAUUGACGGGG
rnacentral:rRNA from 1 species